UCCCAACAAUGAUGCAAUUUGGUUGUGGGGGAUGUCCGUGGUUUGUGAAAUAUGGUUUGCUUUCUCAUGGAUUCUUGACCAAUUGCCCAAACUUUGCCCUAUCAACCGUGCGACUGAUCUUGGUGUCUUAAAAGACAAAUUUGAAUCACCUAGCCCAAACAAUCCUACUGGGAGGCUUUGCCCUGUCAACCGUGCGACUGAUCUUGGUGUCUUGAAAGACAAAUUUGAAUCACCUAGCCCAAACAAUCCUACUGGGAGAUCUGAUCUCCCUGGCGUUGAUAUGUUUGUCUCUACCGCUGAUCCAGAGAAGGAACCUCCUCUUGUGACUGCAAAUACUAUAUUGUCCAUUCUAGCUGCAGAUUAUCCUGUGGAAAAGCUUGCUUGCUAUGUUUCUGAUGAUGGAGGGGCUCUUUUGACUUUCGAGGCAAUGGCAGAAGCUGCAAGUUUUGCUAAUUUAUGGGUACCAUUUUGUCGCAAACAUAACAUCGAACCUAGAAAUCCAGACAGUUACUUCAGUUUAAAGAAGGAUCCGUACAAAAACAAGGUAAAGCAAGACUUUGUUAAGGAUCGUAGGCGGGCAAAGCGUGAGUAUGAUGAGUUUAAGGUCCGUAUCAAUGGGUUGCCAGAGUCCAUUCGCCGUAGGUCUGACGCUUAUCAUGCAAGGGAAGAAAUUAAGGCCAUGAAGCAACAGAGGCAGAAGACUGAGGAUGAACCUGUUGAGAAUGUAAAGAUCCCAAAAGCUACGUGGGUUGCCAGAGUCCAUUCGUCGUAGGUCUGACGCUUAUCAUGCAAGGGAAGAAAUUAAGGCCAUGAAGCAACAGAGGCAGAAGACUGAGGAUGAACCAGUAGAGAAUGUAAAGAUCCCAAAAGCUACGUGGAUGGCAGAUGGAACCCAUUGGCCUGGGACAUGGUUGAAUUCUGGACCUGAGCAUUCCAAGGGUGAUCAUGCUGGAAUAAUACAGG
rnacentral:lncRNA from 1 species